rnacentral:rRNA from 1 species
UACAGAGGUGGCAAGCGUUGUUCGGAAUUACUGGGCGUAAAGGGCGCGUAGGCGGUCCCGUCAGUCCCUUGUGAAAUCCCCCGGCUCAACUGGGGAACUGCAAGGGAUACAGCGGGGCUUGAGUUCGGGAGAGGGAAGCGGAAUUCCGGGUGUAGCGGUGGAAAUGCGUAGAUAUCCGGAGGAACACCGGUGGCGAAGGCGGCGUUCCUGGACCGACUGACUGACGCUGAGGAGCGAAGAGCGUGGGGAGCGAACAGG